GGUAGGUGGGCAAGCGUUGUCCGGAAUUAUUGGGCGUAAAGCGCGCGCAGGGCGGUCCUUUAAGUCUGAUGUGAAAGCCCACGGCUCAACCGUGGAGGGUCAUUGGAAACUGGGGGACUUGAGUACAGAAGAGGAAAGCGGAAUUCCAAGUGUAGCGGUGAAAUGCGUAGAGAUUUGGAGGAACACCAGUGGCGAAGGCGGCUUUCUGGUCUGUAACUGACGCUGAGGCGCGAAAGCGUGGGGAGCAAACAGGAUUAGAUACCCUGGUAGUCCACGCCGUAAACGAUGAGUGCUAAGUGUUAGGGGGGUUUCCGCCCCCUUAGUGCUGCAGCUAACGCAUUAAGCACUCCGCCUGGGGAGUACGGCCGCAAGGCUG
rnacentral:rRNA from 1 species